CCGAAUGACCCAACAGCUGAAGAAAUCAGAAAGACCACGGUGGUAUUUAUCCAGCAUGACCGCAGGCGCAUGGCUGAAAUGAGUAAAAGAGUAAAAGA